AUUAGCAUCACCUAAAGCAAGUAACAUAGGUGAACUCCUUUGUAGUGGUGGAUUUGGGCUGUAAAUUGUUGGGCCUUUGUAUAAUGUUAUUACUGAUGCUCCAGCUACACAUAAUAAUGUUCCACACACUUUUGAUAUACCAUCUUUUCUAUUCAAUCUCACUGUUUCAAUCCUGAGCAGUACUGCCAUGAGAAAUGUUAUGGCAGGUACAGAAUUUUGUAUGGCAG
rnacentral:misc_RNA from 1 species